rnacentral:rRNA from 1 species
UCGACGAUUAGAGUUUGAUCCUGGCUCAGGACGAACGCUGGCGGCGUGCCUAAUACAUGCAAGUAGAACGCUGAAGAGAGGAGCUUGCUCUUCUUGGAUGAGUUGCGAACGGGUGAGUAACGCGUAGGUAACCUGCCUUGUAGCGGGGGAUAACUAUUGGAAACGAUAGCUAAUACCGCAUAACAAUGGAUGACACAUGUCAUUUAUUUGAAAGGGGCAAUUGUUCCACUACAAGAUGGACCUGCGUUGUAUUAGCUAGUAGGUGAGGUAAUGGCUCACCUAGGCGACGAUACAUAGCCGACCUGAGAGGGUGAUCGGCCACACUGGGACUGAGACACGGCCCAGACUCCUACGGGAGGCAGCAGUAGGGAAUCUUCGGCAAUGGGGGCAACCCUGACCGAGCAACGCCGCGUGAGUGAAGAAGGUUUUCGGAUCGUAAAGCUCUGUUGUAAGUCAAGAACGGGUGUGAGAGUGGAAAGUUCACACUGUGACGGUAGCUUACCAGAAAGGGACGGCUAACUACGUGCCAGCAGCCGCGGUAAUACGUAGGUCCCGAGCGUUGUCCGGAUUUAUUGGGCGUAAAGCGAGCGCAGGCGGUUUGAUAAGUCUGAAGUUAAAGGCUGUGGCUCAACCAUAGUUCGCUUUGGAAACUGUCAAACUUGAGUGCAGAAGGGGAGAGUGGAAUUCCAUGUGUAGCGGUGAAAUGCGUAGAUAUAUGGAGGAACACCGGUGGCGAAAGCGGCUCUCUGGUCUGUAACUGACGCUGAGGCUCGAAAGCGUGGGGAGCGAACAGGAUUAGAUACCCUGGUAGUCCACGCCGUAAACGAUGAGUGCUAGGUGUUGGAUCCUUUCCGGGAUUCAGUGCCGCAGCUAACGCAUUAAGCACUCCGCCUGGGGAGUACGACCGCAAGGUUGAAACUCAAAGGAAUUGACGGGGGCCCGCACAAGCGGUGGAGCAUGUGGUUUAAUUCGAAGCAACGCGAAGAACCUUACCAGGUCUUGACAUCCCGAUGCUAUUUCUAGAGAUAGAAAGUUACUUCGGUACAUCGGUGACAGGUGGUGCAUGGUUGUCGUCAGCUCGUGUCGUGAGAUGUUGGGUUAAGUCCCGCAACGAGCGCAACCCCUAUUGUUAGUUGCCAUCAUUCAGUUGGGCACUCUAGCGAGACUGCCGGUAAUAAACCGGAGGAAGGUGGGGAUGACGUCAAAUCAUCAUGCCCCUUAUGACCUGGGCUACACACGUGCUACAAUGGUUGGUACAACGAGUUGCGAGUCGGUGACGGCGAGCUAAUCUCUUAAAGCCAAUCUCAGUUCGGAUUGUAGGCUGCAACUCGCCUACAUGAAGUCGGAAUCGCUAGUAAUCGCGGAUCAGCACGCCGCGGUGAAUACGUUCCCGGGCCUUGUACACACCGCCCGUCACACCACGAGAGUUUGUAACACCCGAAGUCGGUGAGGUAACCUUUUGGAGCCAGCCGCCUAAGGUGGGACAGAUGAUUGGGGUGAAGUCGUAACAAGGUAGCCGUAUCGGAAGGUGCGGCUGGAUCACCUCCUUAAUC